UACGAAGGGGGCUAGCGUUGCUCGGAAUCACUGGGCGUAAAGGGUGCGUAGGCGGGUCUUUAAGUCAGGGGUGAAAUCCUGGAGCUCAACUCCAGAACUGCCUUUUGAUACUGAAGAUCUUGAGUUCGGGGAGAGGUGAGUGGAACUGCGAGUGUAGAGGUGAAAUUCGUAGAUAUUCGCAAGAACACCAGUGGCGAAGGCGGCUCACUGGCCCGAUACUGACGCUGAUGCACGAAAAGCGUGGGGAGCAAACAGG
rnacentral:rRNA from 1 species